UACAACUUUCAGCAACGGAUCUCUUGGCUCUCGCAUCGAUGAAGAACGCAGCGAAAUGCGAUAAGUAAUGUGAAUUGCAGAAUUCAGUGAAUCAUCGAAUCUUUGAACGCACCUUGCACUCCUUGGUAUUCCGAGGAGUAUGCCUGUUUGAGUGUC
rnacentral:rRNA from 1 species